UGCGGGAUGGUGCAACGGUAGCACGGUGGACUCUGAAUCCAUUAAUCUUGGUUCGAAUCCAAGUCCCGCAGCCA
rnacentral:tRNA from 1 species